CACUGCAUGAACAUUCAAACUAGCUGAGGGAAUAGUUUCUCGUCAACAAAUUGUCUUCCCCUUGUAUUGCUAGAAUUUUAAAAAGCAAGAAACACACAAGACAAUAUAGCUAGCUACAGCAAGUCGUUGGGCCUUUGCGUGGAAGAGAACCGUUAUAAACAGCUAGCCAGGCAGGUUUGAGAGAAGGCGCCAGCUAACAGCUAAUGUUAGCUUGCUGACUUCUUGUCUUGGACACACUGUAUCUUGUCAUUUCGGAGCUGAGCCAUUUCCGUAGGAGAAUUAAACCCUGGCUACUGAGUGGAAGAGAAGUUGACUGGUGUCUGAAGAUGAUCAUAGAAAACCUAGAUGCCUUGAAAACGUGGCUUUUCAAAACCCUCGAACCAAUUUGUGACGCGGACCCUUCUGCCCUCGCUAACUACGUCGUUGCCUUGGUGAAGAAAGAUAAAAGUGAGACGGAGCUCAAAGCCCUGUGCAUCGACCAGUUGGAUGUAUUUCUACAGAAAGAGACGCAGACCUUUGUUGAUAGACUGUU